rnacentral:tRNA from 1 species
GGGUGGUUAGCUCAGCUGGUUAGAGUACCUGCGUGACAUGCAGGGGGUCGGUGGUUCGAUCCCACUACCACCCACCA